GCGGUGCGAUCCCAAGCAAUUAAAGCAUAAGUGCUUGUGUUUAAUAAUUGUUAUCCGGUGUUCAUAAUCUGGAACUUUUAAGCAUUUUGCGGGGUAGUGCAUAUCGUUGCAAUAAAUACAAGGUUUCUGACGAAUGUUUGUGCUUUGGCGGUAAUCUAAUCUAUCUUGUGUUCGCGGGUAAUCUCUCGUAUCGGCGCUUGUCAAUAAUGACGCUAUAGACGGUAAAUUUUCAUUUACUUCAUUUGUUUCAAAUCUAUCUUGUAUUUGCGUGUAGUCUCUAUUAUUGGCGAUAGUCAAAAAUGACGCUGUAGACGGUAAGGUGUCAAUAAAUAGAUCGGUGCGUUUC
rnacentral:lncRNA from 1 species